rnacentral:snRNA from 1 species
GUGCUCACUCAGAUAGCACACAGAAUUAAAGUGGAACAUUACAGAAAUGGUUAGUAUGGCUUCUGAGUAACAGUGACAUGCAUAUUCAUAAGACCCUCUGUAUUCAA